rnacentral:rRNA from 1 species
CGUAAAGCUCUGUUGUUAAGGAAGAACGAGUGUGAGAAUGGAAAGUUCAUACUGUGACGGUACUUAACCAGAAAGGGACGGCUAACUACGUGCCAGCAGCCGCGGUAAUACGUAGGUCCCGAGCGUUGUCCGGAUUUAUUGGGCGUAAAGCGAGCGCAGGCGGUUAGAUAAGUCUGAAGUUAAAGGCAGUGGCUCAACCAUUGUAGGCUUUGGAAACUGUUUAACUUGAGUGCAGAAGGGGAGAGUGGAAUUCCAUGUGUAGCGGUGAAAUGCGUAGAUAUAUGGAGGAACACCGGUGGCGAAAGCGGCUCUCUGGUCUGUAACUGACGCUGAGGCUCGAAAGCGUGGGGAGCGAACAGGAUUAGAUACCCUGGUAGUCCACGCCGUAAACGAUGAGUGCUAGGUGUUAGGUCCUUUCCGGGACUUAGUGCCGCAGCUAACGCAUUAAGCACUCCGCCUGGGGAGUACGACCGCAAGGUUGAAACUCAAAGGAAUUGACGGGGGCCCGCACAAG